rnacentral:rRNA from 1 species
UACGAAGGGGGCUAGCGUUGCUCGGAAUCACUGGGCGUAAAGGGUGCGUAGGCGGGUUUUUAAGUCAGAGGUGAAAUCCUGGAGCUCAACUCCAGAACUGCCUUUGAUACUGUUUGGCUAGAGACCGGAAGAGGUAAGUGGAACUGCGAGUGUAGAGGUGAAAUUCGUAGAUAUUCGCAAGAACACCAGUGGCGAAGGCGGCUUACUGGUCCGGUUCUGACGCUGAGGCGCGAAAGCGUGGGGAGCAAACAGG